AAAUUUGGUUUUAAAGAAGCAAUAUUAUGUGAUGAUCUAUGAGAUGAUCUAUGUGAAGAUCUAUGUGAUGAUCUAUGUGAUGAUCCACGUAAUGAUUUUGUGUAAUUGAUGUGGAAUGAUGUUGAGCAGUUGUUUUGUGAAUUUACAUCGUGAUGAAAGGAUUUAGUGGCCAUAGGAAUGUAUUUUUAUACAAAGGGCUGUGGCUUUGUAGAUUACUACAGUUUUGGGAAAGAUGGAGAUUCGAUGGUUAGGUUAACCGUAAUCGAGAGCAAUUAACUUGUGCUUGAAUUUCGGGACGAAAUUCCUUUAAGGGGGGUAGAUUGUAAUAACCUCGUUAGAGGAAUUGUACGAAACUCGUCGGAGGAAUAAUACGAACCUCGAUAGAGGAAUAAUACCAUCUCGUGAAAGAAUCAAAGACAAACAUUUCACCCUUCCUUUAGUUUUCUCACCCCUCCCUUUAGUUGUAACGGUCCUCCUCUUGUCGGAGAGCCAUCAUUCUGUUUCUUUUUUUCGUUUCUCUAUCGACCUCUCUCUCUCACUCUCUCUCGUCCGAAAGAUACCGAAACAAAGCAAAAAUUUCUCCAAGCUCUCUUUUCCUCCACAGGCCAUCAUUCAAUGCCGGACAACCUCCAGUGGCAUCAUCUCAACCUUGCGAAGCUACCUGCAGCGGUUUUGGGUCACGGCACAGUCGGAAACGGCGGCGAAGAGACCGGGUACGUCCAGCCCCGAUUUCUUUCCAAUUGUGAUAACUCGAGCUACAGGCCAUCAAUCCUCACCAAACUUCAUCCUCGAGCUCGCCUCAACUUCCUGAAGCUCCCAGAAGCAGCCUCACACGGCGGCGUGGCCCGAAGCAGUGGCUGCAAGUCAAACCCAAUCAAGAACGAAACCGGAGCUAUCGAUCCAAAUAUAUUGAGCUACAGGACGUCGUUUUGAGUGAUUCUUGAACCAGUGAGCUCGCCUUGAAGUUCUGAACAACUCUUCAGAAGGGAUCGAAGCGAGUAGUGGAAGUUUUUACGUCGAACGGGAGCUCGCCGGAUUCUGCAAAUUUUCCGGCCACCGACGCUUUCGAUCAAGAUAUCUCGAGCUGUAGAGCUUCGUUUUGAGUGAUUCUUGAACCAGUGAGUUCGUCUUUAAGUUCUGAACAAGUCUCCUGAAGGAAUCGAAGCGAAAGGAGGACAUUUUUACGUUGAUCGGAGCUUCGCCGGUUUCUGCAAAUUCUCGCCGGUUUCUGGAAAAAUUCCGGCCACCUCGACUGUUUUAGGUGAUUGACGGUCUCCCUUGGGUGAACGAUUUCGGUGUGUAUUGUGUUGAAUUGAAGACGCAGCGGGAAUAUCGAGCGGGUAAUCCUACAGGUCAGGAGAAUCAGGACGGUGAUCGUGCGGGUUAGAGUAUUUGUUAUAGUUUUACAGCAUUUGUAAUAGUGAGGUGAGUUAAGCUCAUUGAGCCUUACAAUUUGAUUUGGUGAGAGUGUGUUGUAAUAAUUAACUUGAGGAUUUGAUUUAUUGUAAUAUUGAGAGGUGUGAAGUGUGGUUGUUUGUGAGAAAAAAAUUC